rnacentral:rRNA from 1 species
UACAGGGGGGGCAAGCGUUGUUCGGAAUUACUGGGCGUAAAGGGUCUGUAGGUGGCCAACUAAGUCAUACGUGAAAUCCCUCAGCUUAACUGGGGAACUGCGCCUGAUACUGGUUGGCUUGAGUGCAGGAGAGGAACGCGGAAUUCCAGGUGUAGCGGUGAAAUGCGUAGAUAUCUGGAGGAACACCGGUGGCGAAGGCGGCGUUCUGGACUGCAACUGACACUGAGAGACGAAAGCCAAGGGAGCAAACGGG